rnacentral:rRNA from 1 species
AUGGCCUCUCGCCGCCGCACCCUCCUCAAGGUCAUCAUCCUCGGCGACAGCGGGGUUGGGAAGACUUCCUUGAUGAACCAAUAUGUGAACAAGAAGUUCAGCAACCAGUACAAGGCUACGAUUGGCGCCGAUUUCCUCACCAAGGAGGUGCAGUUCGAGGACAGGCUCUUCACCCUACAAAUAUGGGAUACUGCCGGUCAGGAGAGGUUUCAAAGUCUUGGUGUUGCAUUCUACCGCGGUGCAGAUUGUUGUGUUCUAGUUUACGAUGUUAACUCAAUGAAAUCAUUUGAUAAUCUGAACAACUGGCGUGAAGAGUUUCUAAUUCAGGCUAGCCCAUCAGAUCCUGAUAACUUCCCUUUUGUUCUGCUGGGUAACAAAGUUGAUGUAGAUGGCGGGAAUAGUCGCGUGGUUUCUGAGAAAAAGGCGAAGGCAUGGUGUGCCUCUAAAGGGAACAUCCCAUACUUUGAGACUUCUGCCAAGGAUGGAAUCAACGUGGAGGAAGCUUUCCAGUGUAUAGUAAAGAACGCUCUGAAGAACGAGCCAGAGGAAGAACUGUAUAUGCCGGACACCGUGGACGUGGUGGGUGGCAACCGGGGUCAAGGAUCAUCAGGAUGCUGUUAG